UACGAAGGGGGCUAGCGUUGCUCGGAAUCACUGGGCGUAAAGCGCACGUAGGCGGGUCUUUAAGUCAGGGGUGAAAUCCUGGAGCUCAACUCCAGAACUGCCUUUGAUACUGAGGAUCUCGAGUCCGGGAGAGGUGAGUGGAACUCCGAGUGUAGAGGUGAAACUCGUAGAUAUUCGGAAGAACACCAGUGGCGAAGGCGGCUCACUGGCCCGGUACUGACGCUGAGGUGCGAAAGCGUGGGGAGCAAACAGG
rnacentral:rRNA from 1 species